GACGAACGCUGGCGGCGUGCUUAACACAUGCAAGUCGAACGAUGAAGCCGGAGCUUGCUCUGGUGAAUUAGUCGCGAACUGGUGAGUAACACGUUAGUAACCUGCCCUUGACCCUGGGACAACUGCUAGAACUGGUAGAUAAUACCGGUUACGACACUCCGAGGCAUCUCCAGCGGGUGGAAAGAAUUUCGGUCAAGGAUGGACUCGCGGCCUCUCAGUUAGUGGGUGAGGUAACGGCUCACCAAGGCGACGACGGGUAGUCGGCCUGAGAGGGUGAACGGCCACACUGGGACUGAGACACGGCCCAAACUCCUACGGGAGGCAGCAGUGGGGAAUAUUGCACAAUGGGCGCAAGCCUGAUGCAGCAACGCCGCGUGAGGGAUGACGGCCUUCGGGUUGUAAACCUCUUUUAGUAGGGAAGAAGCGAAAGUGACGGUACCUGCAGAAAAAGCACCGGCUAACUACGUGCCAGCCGCCGCCGUAA
rnacentral:rRNA from 1 species